rnacentral:lncRNA from 1 species
UGUGGAGUGAAAGGGAUAUGCCAGUCUUUGUCUUCAGGAAGACUGAAAAAGGUUCCCCUCCAGUCCCCAGUGUACUGUAAGAAUUAGCAGAAUCUUUUUUCAGAUAUUUUCCUACCAGCAAAAAAUAUAGAAUUUAUUCACUGGUUGAACAUUUCUGUAGAUAAGAAGGCAAGGAUGUUGAUUUUAGACCUGGUGCUUUCUAUUCCCUAUUCAGCUUAGAAUUAAAUCUACAAGAGUGGAGAAAAUAUUUGGAGGCAGUGGCUCCUGGCAGAACUGGACCUUCUGAGUGUGACGAUCUUUAGCAAAUUGUGGGAAAUCUUCUGGCCAGCAAAAGGAAUUACUUUUUCUAUUAAACACUCUCAUAAAAUUGCACAAACUUCCAAUUGUAAGAACAUUUUCACACUAGGAAAUUGAAGAACGUUGUGUGCUAUCAGAAGUAUGAAAGAAACUUUGUUCUUACUGAUUUUUUUUCCAUAGCAUGUUUUUUGCCAGUGGUACAAAAUUUUACUUUUAGAUGGAGAUAACAUAUUUGCCAGCAAGAAAUUCUAAACUCCAGCAAGGUUUCUCAGCAUAGCUGAUGAUACUUAAGAAAUUCAUUGAUAGUGCUUUAGAAAUCAACUUGAAUCAGUCUCACUCAUUGGUCAUGUUCUUGUUUUUUCUUUCUUAUUCAUUUUUGUGUUAAUGAACUAUUUGGCCAAAAACAAAACAAAAUGUGAAUUACUUUAUUUUUUGUGUUACGUGAAUUGAAUGUGCAAUCUUCAGUUUAUUAGCUACUAUGAAUGGAUGAAAAAGAGUGUAGGGAGAAGGAAAAUGUGUUGCUAGUGAAAAGCUAAAUGAAUGCAGAGAAUGAAGAUUUGUGAACGUGAGAUGUUCUGGGGAAAAGGCAACUUUUUCACUCUAAAGGCACGUCCACCAAGAAAACUGCCACGUCAGGCUUUGGGCCAUGUUUCUCCCUGUUGUGGGCCAUCUGUGUUGAAAAUGUGUCCAGAAUUGAAGGUUACCUCAUUGUCACCAGGAAACAGGAAAUAAGUUUGAGAAACAUCUGUUUUUCACCUUGGAUGAUUUUGUUAACUUGGAUGCAACAUUUUGCAGCUGUUUUUCAUUCCACAAACUUUGGUAAGUUUUGCUUUCUCCUUUAUUUUCCUGCAGAAUGGUAACAGAUAGUUACAAAAUUGAAACACACAUCAUUUCACAUUUUCUAGAGUCAUAUUUUCUGAAUUGAGGGAUAAAAGGAGCACAUAUACUGAAAAACACAACAGCUUAGUGUGGGACUAUUUUUAUAUUUUUUUAAGAGAAUUUCAAAUAUAUUUACUACAAUUGUGUCUCUAUAUAAUAGCAGUCACUUGCCUAAAAUAUUCAUAGGGAAAAAUACGGAGCAUAUAAUUCUGUAUCCUCUAAUUGUUUUGAAACAACUCUAACCCAUAUACAGCAUAAGAAAAUCUGUAGUUAUGAAAUUCUGUGAGAAAGACUUGAUAAGAAGAAUUUUCAGUAAUGCAAGUAAGAUAAUACUUGUAAAUUUUCUGGGUAAAAGUUGAAUAUAUAUGAA